UCCCUCUCAGGGUGGCACCUGGGGAGUUUCCAGUACUCUCUCAGUCUCGACUAUGGGAGGGAGAGUUAAGCAGAGGCCUACCCAUUCCAUUCCCGGCUUGGACCGUGGCUAGUGAGUGGAAGGCAAUCUGUUACAAGU